AUUGAACGCUGGCGGCAGGCCUAACACAUGCAAGUCGAGCGGAUGAAGGGAGCUUGCUCCUGGAUUCAGCGGCGGACGGGUGAGUAAUGCCUAGGAAUCUGCCUGGUAGUGGGGGAUAACGUCCGGAAACGGGCGCUAAUACCGCAUACGUCCUGAGGGAGAAAGUGGGGGAUCUUCGGACCUCACGCUAUCAGAUGAGCCUAGGUCGGAUUAGCUAGUUGGUGGGGUAAAGGCCUACCAAGGCGACGAUCCGUAACUGGCCUGAGAGGAUGAUCAGUCACACUGGAACUGAGACACGGUCCAGACUCCUACGGGAGGCAGCAGUGGGGAAUAUUGGACAAUGGGCGAAAGCCUGAUCCAGCCAUGCCGCGUGUGUGAAGAAGGUCUUCGGAUUGUAAAGCACUUUAAGUCGGGAGGAAGGGCAGUAAGUUAAUACCUUGCUGUUUUGACGUUACCAACAGAAUAAGCACCGGCUAACUUCGUG
rnacentral:rRNA from 1 species